CUCAUAAUUUCAUGUUGUUCCUGUCUGUCAUGGCCCCCACUCUCCUCCUCUCUCUCCUCUCUCUCUCUCUACAUGUCUCUGUGUUUGUUUAUAUAAAUAUAUAGAAUACAUAGAGAUGCAGUGGAGUUGAUCGUUAUUCAUAUAUAUAAGGCCGGCACACCCUUCUCUGAGCUCCCUCUCUGUUUGUCUGGGGCUCCUAAGACAUGGGAACUCGAGGAAGUGGAAGCCAAGGUGACGCCUUUAUCUGCAUUUGCACCUGCACCUUAUCGUAUUGUGUUUGUUUGGGUUUCAUCUCUGCCUUGAACUUGCUCAAAAAGGGUAUAUACUGGGAGAGAUGAUGGUGAGGAAUAGGUGCAGGUGAAGGUGCAGAUGAAUGCCACUUUGGCUCACAGAUGCCGCUCUUUGUCACUUGUGAGCUGCUAGCUUCUUUUAUGCCAAGAAAUAUUCCUUGCUCUGCAGAUCCAAUCAUAAUCAUCCUCAUCAUUUAUUCAUCCAUAUAUGUCUGCUCUCUCGUUACUCUUGUUGACUUGCCUAACCAUUUGUGUAAGUUCCUUUUACAGGCUUAUGAAAGAACCGUUCAAACGACAGACCCAUCAACAAAUUACUAUGGUGUCGCUUCUUGUAAGGUAAUGAGAACUCACUCUCCUAACGUUUUUAUGGGGCUUCUCAAGGCAAAGAUCUCUCCAUGUCUUUUUAGUUACAGUCUAGCCUAGACUUCUACACAUGGUAGCUUCUGAAGGGCUGUUCAAACAACAGAUCCAUCAACAAAAAUGACCUUUUCAAGAUCCCCCCGAUCCCGUGCAGCAGAGAUAUUUAAUGUGGGACUUGGUUACCAUCACAGAAUGCUUAGAACUUGUUGGUUUUUUUCCAGCCACGUACUUUGUGAGCAUACUUCCAACUCUUAAUUUUCCUUACCUUCUUAUUCUCUUCUUCUUCUUUCCCUUCGCUUUCUUUUACUAAUUAAGCAAGCAGAUGGAUGGAAAUAUUCUAGCAUCGAAAUCAAGCGGUUAUUCCAUUCAAAGGCUUUUGCUAGACCUGUCUUCACGAGCAUAGUGCAGUUACUGUACUUGAUCAGAAUUUUGGAUGCAUCUCCAAAAGUAAUAUGAUUACUUUCCGAUUCAUUAGCCUCCACACACAUAUUUUGGAAUCCACACAUGAUUACGCGGUGAGUGGUUUUCUCCUCAUUUUCCUUUUUAUAUGCCAACAAUUUAGUAGCUUCUUCUUCAUCUUUAUUUUCAACAUAGUUAGCUUGCCUUUUCAUAUUGUUAGUAGCACUUCUUGGUUCUUCCUUUUUAUUCUCUCUUCAUAGGCUUGUAAUGAUCUUUUAAGUUGAUCACUGGUCAUUGAAGUUAAAUCUUUAGAUUCUUCAAUGAUCACAACAAUAUAAUCAAAUUUCAAAAAUAAAGAUCCAAACAUUUUUUCAAUUACACGACUGUCAUUGAAACUCUUACCGUUCUUUUUAAUAAAUUCAUAAUAACCAACACUCUAGAAAACUAGUCAAAGAUUUAUAUCUUAUCAACUCCUUUGUGUAUUUUGUAAAAUCUUCCAGAUUUCAUUGGAGGUGGUUAAAUUUGUAAUCUUCUCAAAAAUAUCUUCAUCCAUUGCUUAAUAGAUGAUGGUAAGACUUAUUAUCUCUCAUCCAUCUUUUAAAAAAAUCCCUUUGAUUUGGGAAUAGAAUAGCUUCAUCUUGUGACUCUUUGUAACCUCUCGUACAUCUUGUGAACCAAGUACAAUUUUUAUCUUAAUACCCCAAUUAUCUUAAUUGUCUUUGUUGAGUUUGAGGACUUGAAAUGGAUAUAUCCCAUUUAUCAUUUUUUUAAUAUGGCUCUAAUACCAAUUUGUUGGAGUAAUAAGGUUAAAAAAAAAUUACAUAUAUAUAUAAGAUUUAAAAAAAUUAUCCAAAUAUUAUAUAUUUCUAAUUUAAAGAUACUUAUUCUUAAUAAAAUAAAAAUAUAAAGACCUUAUAGGACUCAACCAUACAUUUAAAUAUAAAAACUUAAUCAAUCGAAGUAAAUAUAUAUAUAUAUAUUACUUUUAGAGACAAUUUAAUUCUAAUUUUUAAACACUUCCUAAAUCAAGUUUAAGUUUACAACAAAUGUUAAUCUUAGGGGUUGAUUGCUCCAUUACCAUAUGUUUGCACCGCCUACCACUACAUAUGAAUCUUAAAUUUGGUGAUUAAGCUCUUGUCAUCUUUACAAUGAAAAUUCCUAUAUGUUGUCAAGGAACGCUUGGUGCCUUCAUGGCCAGUUGAAUGCUUCUAUAAGUCCUUUUAACCUACUCUCUCGGAUAAGCCACUUGUCACUCUGAUAUGUCUUUUAGUCAGUGCAUGCCUUGCACCCGACUCGACAACCGUUCUAUCAUUCUGCUUUAUGAUCGGUUAUGUUACACACCAUCUUACGAUCUCGUAUGACCUUUCUUCAACCAUGUUGCACCUUAAACUUGAGCCAUGUCGGUCAUUUUCCACAAGUGUAGCUAUUGAUCUUUGUUGCAAAUGGACAAAUCAGUUUUCACCCAUCAUUCCGUCAUUGGAAGUAACCCCAUCUAGGAUAAUUGGUUUCUAAUUUAGUGCUAUCUUUUCUUGUGUUGCCACUUACAUACCUCAACAUCUGCAAUUUAACCAUGCUUGUUCUACAAAAUUGGUGUUCUUAAAAUUGGUAGCUUAACAAUCUUUAUCUACUCUAAUUUGAGGGGCAGUAUCCCUUGCAGUCUCUCAUUCUGUGUAAAAUUAUCCUAUAUCGGUAGCAAAAAUGACACCCAUCAAUAUCUUUAGGUCACAGUCUCACCAAUUUCUAGUCUUUCCCUUUUUUUUUUUUUUACUAGUUUUACUAAGAUUGUGUUUCAAGUCCUUUUUGUUCUUAUUGUUGGAACCAUGUCUCCAAAGAAGUUAAAUAUUGUGUACAGGUCGACUUCUUGAGUCGGGUUCUAAAGUUCAUGAGUUGGCAACUAAAAGCUUGAAGACUUAGAUGGCUGUUACUUUGUUCAGGAAUAUAUUGAAGAUCCUGAUUUAGCAGCAACGUAUCAGAACAUCAAAGAGACCACCCAUUAUUUUAUAUGGGAGUCCAAUUCCCCCUGCUGCAGUUUCCCUUGUUAGUCCAACAUGCCUACUUAAAUGGUUCUAUGUCCACCACUUCUUUGUUCAUUCAUGAAAAUUAUCACACAAUCAAGUUUAGGGAGAGACAUUAAUGGAGUACUUCUGCCUGAACCCAGUUUCACACUUCCUAUUUCCUUUUCCCUUCUUUUACAGACAGUUUCCUCGUGGAAAGAAAAGGGAACAUUAUGAUGUAAGAGAAUAUGCUUUUAACUACGCAAUCCUCCUGUGAAUGGGUUGAGAAGUUUUAUUCAGCAUCCCUGAUGACAUGCUUAAAUUUUA